rnacentral:tRNA from 1 species
UUUAAGAUAGUUUAAAAAAAUAUUAAUUUUGGAGAUUAAAGAUAACUAAUAUGUUUCUUUAAA